rnacentral:rRNA from 1 species
GUAGGGCGGGACACGUGACAUCCUGUCUGAAUAUGGGGGGACCAUCCUCCAAGGCUAAAUACUCCUGACUGACCGAUAGUGAACCAGUACCGUGAGGGAAAGGCGAAAAGAACCCCGGCGAGGGGAGUGAAAUAGAACCUGAAACCGUGUACGUACAAGCAGUGGGAGCACCUUCGUGGUGUGACUGCGUACCUUUUGUAUAAUGGGUCAGCGACUUAUAUUUUGUAGCAAGGUUAACCGUAUAGGGGAGCCGUAGGGAAACCGAGUCUUAACUGGGCGAAUAGUUGCAAGGUAUAGACCCGAAACCCGGUGAUCUAGCCAUGGGCAGGUUGAAGGUUGGGUAACACUAACUGGAGGACCGAACCGACUAAUGUUGAAAAAUUAGCGGAUGACUUGUGGCUGGGGGUGAAAGGCCAAUCAAACCGGGAGAUAGCUGGUUCUCCCCGAAAGCUAUUUAGGUAGCGCCUCGUGAACUCAUCUUCGGGGGUAGAGCACUGUUUCGGCUAGGGGGCCAUCCCGGCUUACCAAACCGAUGCAAACUCCGAAUACCGAAGAAUGUUAUCACGGGAGACACACGGCGGGUGCUAACGUCCGUCGUGAAGAGGGAAACAACCCAGACCGCCAGCUAAGGUCCCAAAGUCAUGGUUAAGUGGGAAACGAUGUGGGAAGGCAUAGACAGCCAGGAUGUUGGCUUAGAAGCAGCCAUCAUUUAAAGAAAGCGUAAUAGCUCACUGGUCGAGUCGGCCUGCGCGGAAGAUGUAACGGGGCUAAACCAUGCACCGAAGCUGCGGCAGCGACGCUUAGGCGUUGUUGGGUAGGGGAGCG